rnacentral:rRNA from 1 species
AACGAACGCUGGCGGCAGGCUUAACACAUGCAAGUCGAACGCGCCGCAAGGUGAGUGGCGCACGGGUGAGUAACGCGUGGGAAUGUACCGUUUAGUACGGAAUAGCUCCGGGAAACUGGAAUUAAUACCGUAUACGCCCUUCGGGGGAAAGAUUUAUCGCUAAACGAUCAGCCCGCGUGAGAUUAGGUAGUUGGUGGGGUAAUGGCCUACCAAGCCUACGAUCUCUAGCUGGUCUGAGAGGAUGAUCAGCCACACUGGAACUGAGACACGGUCCAGACUCCUACGGGAGGCAGCAGUGGGGAAUAUUGGACAAUGGGGGCAACCCUGAUCCAGCCAUGCCGCGUGAAUGAUGAAGGCCUUAGGGUUGUAAAGUUCUUUUACCGAUGAAGAUAAUGACGGUAGUCGGAGAAAAAGCCCCGGCUAACUUCGUGCCAGCAGCCGCGGUAA